AGAUUGAACGCUGGCGGCGUGCCUAACACAUGCAAGUCGAGCGGUAACAGGUGUAGCAAUACAUGCUGACGAGCGGCGAACGGGUGAGUAAUGCUUCGGAAUCUACCUUAUGGUGGGGAAUAACUAGCCGAAAGGUUAGCUAAUACCGCAUACGUCCUACGGGAGAAAGCAGGGGAUCGCAAGACCUUGCGACCAAAAGAUGAGCCGAAGUCGGAUUAGCUAGUUGGUAGGGUAACGGCCUACAAGGCGACGAUCCGUAGCUGGUCUGAGAGGACGACCAGCCACACUGGAACUGAGACACGGUCAGACUCCUACGGGAGCAGCAGUGGGAAUAUUGGACAAGUGGGGGAAACCCUGACUCCAGCGACGCCGCGUGUGUGAAGAAGGCCUGGCGGUUAGUAAAGCUACGUUUUUAGG
rnacentral:rRNA from 1 species